rnacentral:rRNA from 1 species
GAUGAACGCUAGCUACAGGCUUAACACAUGCAAGUCGAGGGGAAACGACAUCGAAAGCUUGCUUUUGAUGGGCGUCGACCGGCGCACGGGUGAGUAACGCGUAUCCAACCUGCCCAUCACUUGGGAAUAACCUUGCGAAAGUAAGACUAAUACCCAAUGAUAUCCCACGAAGGCAUCGGAAUGGGAUUAAAGAUUUAUCGGUGAUGGAUGGGGAUGCGUCUGAUUAGCUUGUUGGCGGGGUAACGGCCCACCAAGGCAACGAUCAGUAGGGGUUCUGAGAGGAAGGUCCCCCACAUUGGAACUGAGACACGGGCCAAACUCCUACGGGAGGCAGCAGUGAGGAAUAUUGGUCAAUGGGCGAGAGCCUGAACCAGCCAAGUAGCGUGCAGGAAGACGGGCCUAUGGGUUGUAAACUGCUUUUAUAAGGGAAUAAAGUGGGUCACGUGUGACUUUUUGCAUGUACCUUAUGAAUAAGGACCGGCUAAUUCCGUG